rnacentral:rRNA from 1 species
AACGAACGCUGGCGGCAGGCCUAACACAUGCAAGUCGAACGCUCCGCAAGGGGAGUGGCAGACGGGUGAGUAACACGUGGGAAUCUUCCUGUUGGUACGGAAUAGCUCAGGGGAAACUUGGGGUAAUACCGUAUAAGCCCGAGAGGGGAAAGAUUUAUCGCCGACAGAUGAGCCCGCGUCUGAUUAGCUAGUUGGUGAGGUAAUGGCUCACCAAGGCGACGAUCAGUAGCUGGCUGAGAGGAUGACCAGCCACACUGGGACUGAGACACGGCCCAGACUCCUACGGGAGGCAGCAGUGGGGAAUAUUGGACAAUGGGCGCAAGCCUGAUCCAGCCAUGCCGCGUGAGUGACGAAGGUCUUCGGAUUGUAAAGCUCUUUUGCCAGGGACGAUAAUGACGGUACCUGGANAAUAAGCCCCGGCUAACUUCGUGCCAGCCGCCGCCGU